UACAGAGGGUGCAAGCGUUGUUCGGAAUUAUUGGGCGUAAAGAGCUCGUAGGCGGUUUGUCGCGUCUGCUGUGAAAUCCCGAGGCUCAACCUCGGGUCUGCAGUGGGUACGGGCAGACUAGAGUGUGGUAGGGGAGAUUGGAAUUCCUGGUGUAGCGGUGGAAUGCGCAGAUAUCAGGAGGAACACCAACAGCGAAGGCAGAUCUCUGGGACGUUACUGACGCUGAGACGCGAAAGCGUGGGGAGCAAACAGG
rnacentral:rRNA from 1 species